rnacentral:lncRNA from 1 species
UUUCUGGAAUCACUUCUUGAAACCUGGGAAUAUUAACCUGGAGCAAAUGAUGUAGAGAUGAUAUAAAUUCUUUGACAUUGUAUUGAAGAUAGUCUCAGAUUUAGUAGCUGUGUACAUUAAUAAUGAAUCUACUCUGUAAUACCUAAAUACAACCAAUGUUUCUAUCUGUAGGUCCAUUAGAUACAGAAGAUGCUUAAAAAUUAUUAAGAAUAAAAUCUUAGAAACACUCGAAUCAUGCUUUCCAGCCCUUCAUAUGGUUGCCUUCAACUUAAGUUCCACCAUGAAAAUGGUACUAUCAUUCCAAGGUCUG